UUACUUCCGUCCAUUUCCCGUCCAGGCAAACCAGCUAGCAAAUGAUGCCUUCGCAGGGGAAUAUUCCCACUCAGGGAGCCGAUGUGGAGCAAGACGAGACACCGACGGGCGCGGAUAUGGAUGCCGCUAUUCUGCUGCUGGGAGCUGGGAUGACGGCUGCCACACAUCCGCUGCUUUAUGUGAAGCUGCUAAUACAGGUGGGGCACGAACCUCUUCCACCAACUGUAGGCACAACUAUGUUUGGAAGUAGAGUGUUAUACCUGCCUGGCUUCUUCUCCUAUGCACGCCACAUUGUUCAGGUGGAUGGAAAGAGGGGACUCUUCCGUGGCCUGUCACCACGUAUCGCAUCUAUUGCAAUCUCCACUGUAAUCAGGACCAAAACUAAAAAGACUGCGGAGCUUGUAUCCAAGAAAGACAACACACAAACUCCUCUGAGGAAACUAAUGAAAGAGACCUCUCACGAGAUGCUCAUCCAGUGCCUGUCCAGAAUAGCAACUCAUCCUUUUCACGUUAUGUCGGUGCGUUGUAUGGCCCAGUUUGUUGGCAGAGAGGUGAAAUACAGUGGCAUUCUCAGUAGUAUCAGCAGGAUUUUUAAAGAAGAAGGAGUCGCCGGAUUCUACGUUGGUUUAAUGCCUCAUGUGCUGGGCGAGGUCCUCUUCUUGUGGUGCUGCAACUUGCUGGCUCACUUAAUAAACACCUACGCUGUAGAUGACAGUUUCAGCCAGGCAUCGGCGGUGAGGAGUUACACAAAGUUUGUGAUGGGCUUUGCAGUGAGCAUCUUAACAUACCCGUUUAUCUUGGUGGCUGAUGUCAUGGCGGUCAACAAUUGUGGAUUGACUGCUGGUCUUCCUCCACAUUCGCCCAUUUUCACGUCCUGGCUGCACUGUUGGAAUUACCUCAGCCACAAGGGUCUCCUGUUCAGAGGAUCCAGCUUCUUCUCACGCCGCAUGCCUGUGGUGUCCAGUAACGACUGAUUUCAUCAUCAUUCAGCAGAUCGGGACUGCCAUUGUAUUAAGUUUUAAAGUGGCACUGUGGCUAUCAUCCUCCUUACCUUUCCGGGGAAAGGGAAGGUGAAAUCCAGGUACUUGCCCUCCUAUGUGGCGUUUGCAUUUUCUCCGAGUACUCCAGCUUCCUCCCACACUCCCAAAAGAUCCAUGUUAGGUUCAUAUAGAAGACUAUUCAUUGUCUAAAGGGAAUGAAUGACGAGCAUGAAUGAUCGUCUAAAUGUGUGAUGAUUAAUGUGCCCAAAGUCGGAAAGUUCUAGACAACCUGUGACCCCAGUAAGGAUGGGUAUCUCAAUGUUUUUGUGGAAUACAUUCAGAAAAAAAGUCAAAGCAUUCCAGCAUUAUGUUAUGGUUUUUUUGGUCACCAAAAUUUUGGCACCUACUUAAUCCUACAUUUUACUCCCAGUUCACGCAGUUGCAAAUGUAAAAUGUUGAAAGAGUUUACAGGACGUGGUUGUUUUUACUAGCCCAAAAAUUCAUGAAUUUGAUGCUGCCCACCCCCUUCCAAUUUCCAUAUUUUUAUAGAGAUACUUAUAAAAUGUGAUUUAAGAUGGCUGACAUACAUAAAAUUGAGACACUGGACAGCAACUCUUUUGUAAGCUAAAACCAUAGCAUUGAGCAUAUCGGACAAUGUUUCCGCUAAUAGUCAUUUUUGCAUGAUUGGUGUGGUGUGAGAUGUUUAUUUUAAAACCAUACUGUCAGAAUUAAAGUUCUGAAUUUGACCUCAAAUAAAGACUUCCUCACCAAAACCUUCUAUUCAUUGACUCAUUAACAGCAACGCCCUAGUCUUCAAUACACAGUCUUUAAACCCUUUAAUGCCAGCAAUAUGAAGCAAUCAUCAGAGAAUCCCAAAAUUUGAAAAAUAAGGUCCUAAUGAAACCUUUUUUUCAAAUUUGUAAAAAGAGUC